rnacentral:rRNA from 1 species
GACGAACGCUGGCGGCGUGCUUAACACAUGCAAGUCGAACGGAAAGGCCCUUCGGGGUACUCGAGUGGCGAACGGGUGAGUAACACGUGGGUGAUCUGCCCUGCACUUUGGGAUAAGCCUGGGAAACUGGGUCUAAUACCGAAUAGGACCACGCGCUUCAUGGUGUGUGGUGGAAAGCUUUUGCGGUGUGGGAUGGGCCCGCGGCCUAUCAGCUUGUUGGUGGGGUAAUGGCCUACCAAGGCGACGACGGGUAGCCGGCCUGAGAGGGUGACCGGCCACACUGGGGCUGAGAUACGGCCCAGACUCCUACGGGAGGCAGCAGUGGGGAAUAUUGCACAAUGGGCGCAAGCCUGAUGCAGCGACGCCGCGUGAGGGAUGACGGCCUUCGGGUUGUAAACCUCUUUCAAUAGGGACGAAGCGCAAGUGACGGUACCUAUAGAAGAAGCACCGGCCAACUACGUG